AUCCUCAUUCGUGGAACAAGUUGGCAAACCUGCUUUUUCUUGAAUCACCAACUGGUGUUGGUUUCUCAUACUCAAAUACAAUAUCAGAUUUGUAUACUGCAAGCGAUCAAAGAACGGGUUUGCUAUGUCCUGGAGAUCAAUUUUUGGUGCUCUCCUCUGAUGGCUUAUACCAAUACUUGAGCAAUGUGGAAGUUGUUUCCCAUGUUGCAAAUUUUAUGGAGAAAUUUCCUGAUGGAGAUCCUGCACAGCACAUAUAUGA